rnacentral:rRNA from 1 species
GACGAACGCUGGCGGCGUGCCUAACACAUGCAAGUCGAGCGGAGAUAAGCGGAUGGUAACUGAAGCUUAUCUUAGCGGCGGACGGGUGAGUAACACGUGGGCAACCUGCCUUGAAGUGGGGGAUAACACCGGGAAAUCGGUGCUAAUACCGCAUAACAUACACAAACUGCAUGGUAAGUGUAUCAAAGGAGCAAUCCGCUUUAAGAUGGGCCCGCGGCUGAUUAGCUAGUUGGUAAGGUAACGGCUUACCAAGGCGACGAUCAGUAGCCGACCUGAGAGGGUGACCGGCCACACUGGAACUGAGACACGGUCCAGACUCCUACGGGAGGCAGCAGUGGGGAAUAUUGCGCAAUGGGGGGAACCCUGACGCAGCAACGCCGCGUGGAGGAAGAAGGUCUUCGGAUUGUAAACUCCUGUCUUCUGGGACGAAUAAUGACGGUACCAGAGGAGGAAGCCACGGCUAACUACGUG